GACGAACGCUGGCGGCGUGCUUAACACAUGCAAGUCGAACGGAAAGGCCCUGCUUUUGUGGGGUGCUCGAGUGGCGAACGGGUGAGUAACACGUGAGUAACCUGCCCUUGACUUUGGGAUAACUUCAGGAAACUGGGGCUAAUACCGGAUAGGAGCUCCUGCUGCAUGGUGGGGGUUGGAAAGUUUCGGCGGUUGGGGAUGGACUCGCGGCUUAUCGGCUUGUUGGUGGGGUAGUGGCUUACCAAGGCUUUGACGGGUAGCCGGCCUGAGAGGGUGACCGGCCACAUUGGGACUGAGAUACGGCCCAGACUCCUACGGGAGGCAGCAGUGGGGAAUAUUGCACAAUGGGCGGAAGCCUGAUGCAGCAACGCCGCGUGCGGAAUGACGGCCUUCGGGUUGUAAACCGCUUUCGCCUGUGACGAAGCGUGAGUGACGGUAAUGGGUAAAGAAGCACCGGCUAACUACGUG
rnacentral:rRNA from 1 species